CCAGCCAGGAAGGAGGAGGCAGCCAGAGAGGCCUCCACUGUUCUCUGCAGCAGAAGACCCCCUGCUGCCAGCUGACCCUGUGGCACCAGCAGGGCCCACUUGGUGAGAUUCACGAUCUGAGGGAUGACAACCCUAAGCAGCCAGCCAAUCUGGAGGAGAGAGGAGUAUCCCCUUGGCCUGCUUCAAUCUAUUUGGAUUGUAAACAUCAUUUGUCAGGCACUUUUCAACAGAAACAGUGGCCGCCUUCACACAUGAAGUGAAACUGCAUGCGCCCCCCGCCACCCCAAAACACUGGUUGCCUCAGUCCGGGAGAUUGGAGAGAGGAGGGGGGAACUGGCUGCUCUGGCUGUGGAGGCUUCCUUCAGGCAUGAAUGACAGCCCCAGCAGCCAAUCAGAGAAAGAGAGAGCUUUCUUCCCACAACUCAGGUUACAGCAAGCACAGCUUUCAAUUCAGCCAUCAGACGACAUGCUGCAACUUUCAAACCUCAGGUAGGAGCAGCAAAACUGACUACAAACUGAAGGUGCAAAUUAGAGUUUGGAUAGGGAAACCUCGGGUCACUUUUGAGAUGGAGCCUUGAUUGCACGCAAUUGGACAACCAUGAAAUCCAACCUCUGCCUUGUUCAACUCCAGUUCUGUGUUACCUGCAAAGGGAGUCAGUUUUUCUGUUGAAAACAAAAGGUGGGAUAUAAAUAAAAUAACAAAAUUACUAAAAUAAAAUUUCAUUACCUUGUUUAGAAAUAAUGUAUGUGAACAAUUCACCCUGACUACAGCUGUUUGAAGAUCUGAUCAGCUCCAGGCAGUCUUGGAGAGGACAGAUUAUCUAGAACCAUUUCAAACUGGUUUUCAGGAGGCCUAGGGAGAUGAAACAACUGUGGUCAACCUGAUGGGUGAUCUUCAUCAUGGAAUUGAUAGAUGCAGUUUGAGUCGCUUGGUUCUUUUGGACCUCUCUUUAGCUUUUAAUACCACCGACCAUGGCAUGAUAUCCUUCUGGAUCAUUUGGGGGAUAUUAUUUAUUAUUAAUUCAUUAUUAUUUAUUGAUUGAUUAAAUUUAUAAAUCGCCCCAUUCAAAGGCUCUGCGCGGUGUACAACAAAUUUUAAAAGACAUAAAAACACACACCAUAUAAGACACAGUGCUAAAAACAAUAUAAAACAAUUAAAAACCAUUUAAAACCAUUUAAAACUAAUUAUAAUACUUUAAAAACAAUUUAAAAACCUUGGAAGGCCAGGCCAAACAAGUAAGUUUUUAGGGCUCUCUUAAAGGCCAACCGUGAGCCUAAACUGCAGAUAUCUGCCGGGAGUGCAUUCCAUAAAUCAUGAGCAGCUACAGAAAAGGCCCAGUUCCAAGUCACCACCAGAUGUACCUGUGGUAACUGGAGAUGGACCUCUCCAGAUGACCUUAACGAGCAAUGGGGAUCAUACCAAAGAUGGCAUUCUCUAAGGUAGCCAUUCA